UACGGAGGGGGCGAGCGUUAUUCGGAAUCAUUGGGCGUAAAGGGCGCGUAGGCGGCUUCAUAAGUCUUGGGUGAAAGCCCUCGGCUCAACCGAGGAAUUGCCUUGGAUACUGUGAAGCUCGAGGCUGGAAGAGGGUAGUGGAAUUCCCGGUGUAGUGGUGAAAUGCGUAGAGAUCGGGAGGAACACCCGUGGCGAAGGCGGCUCACUGGGCUGACCUUGACGCUGAGGCGCGAAGGCGUGGGGAGCGAACGGG
rnacentral:rRNA from 1 species